UAGGGAAUCUUCCGCAAUGGACGCAAGUCUGACGGAGCAACGCCGCGUGAGUGAAGAAGGAUUUCGGUUCGUAAAACUCUGUUGUUAGAGAAGAACAGCGCAUAGAGUAACUGUUAUGCGUGUGACGGUAUCUAACCAGAAAGCCACGGCUAACUACGUGCCAGCAGCCGCGGUAAUACGUAGGUGGCAAGCGUUGUCCGGACUUAUUGGGCGUAAAGCGAGCGCAGGCGGUCAAUUAAGUCUGAUGUGAAAGCCCCCGGCUAAACCGGGGAGGGUCAAUGGAAACUGGUUGAAUUGAGUGCAGAAGAGGAGAGUGGAAUUCCAGGUGUAGGGGUGAAAUGCGUAGAUAGAUGGAGGAACACCAGUGGCGAAGGCGACUCUCUGGUCUGUAACUGACGCUGAGGCUAGAAAGCGUGGGUAGCAAACAGG
rnacentral:rRNA from 1 species